AUCUCUUAAAGAACGGGACAUCCGAUAAAAUUGAAACGAUAUAGAGAAGAUUAGCAUUGCUCCUACGCAAGAAUGACACGCACAAAUCGAGAAAUGGUGGUUGUAAAC
rfam:Eutrema salsugineum unplaced genomic scaffold scaffold_12, whole genome shotgun sequence.